GUCGCCAUAGCUCAGUUGGUUAGAGCGUGGGUUUGAUUACCACCCAAGGUCGCAGGUUCGAUCCCUGCUGGCGGCA